AGUGAACGCUGGCGGUAGGCCUAACACAUGCAAGUCGAACGGCCGCACAGUAAGAGCUUGCUCUUACGGGUGGCGAGUGGCGGACGGGUGAGGAAUACAUCGGAAUCUACUUUUUCGUGGGGGAUAACGUAGGGAAACUUCCGCUAAUACCGAAUACGACCUACGGGUGAAAGCAGGGGAUCUUCGGACCUUGCGCGUUUGAUUGAGCCGAUGUCGGAUUAGCUAGUUGGCGGGGUAAAGGCCCACCAAGGCGACGAUCCGUAGCUGAUCUGAGAGGAUGAUCGGCCACACUGGAACUGAGACACGGUCCAGACUCCUACGGGAGGCAGCAGUGGGGAAUAUUGGACAAUGGGCGCAAGCCUGAUCCAGCCAUACCGCGUGGGUGAAGAAGGCCUUCGGGUUGUAAAGCCCUUUUGUUGGGAAAGAAAAGCAGCAGGUUAAUACCCCGCUGUUCUGACGGUACCCAAAGAAUAAGCACCGGCUAACUUCGUG
rnacentral:rRNA from 1 species